rnacentral:rRNA from 1 species
UUCCGUAGGUGAACCUGCGGAAGGAUCAUUACAGAGUGCGAGGCUCAGUCGUGGCAUCUGCCGCGUGCUGGGCCGACCCUCCCACCCGUGUCGAUUUGUAUCUUGUUGCUUUGGCGGGCCGGGCUGCGCUGUCGCUGUCCGCAUGGACAUGCGUUGGCCGCCCACCGGUUUUCAACUGGAGCGCGCCCGCCAAAGACCCAACCAAAACUCAUGUUGUUUGUGUCGUCUCAGCUUUAUUAUGAAAAUUGAUAAAACUUUCAACAACGGAUCUCUUGGCUCUGGCAUCGAUGAAGAACGCAGCGAAAUGCGAUAAGUAAUGUGAAUUGCAGAAUUUAGUGAAUCAUCGAAUCUUUGAACGCACAUUGCGCCCCUUGGUAUUCCGAGGGGCAUGCCUGUUCGAGCGUCAUAACACCCCCCUCCAGCUGCCUUUGUGUGGCUGCGGUGUUGGGGCUCGUCGCGAUGCGGCGGCCCUUAAAGAUAGUGGCGGUCCCGGCGUGGGCUCUACGCGUAGUAACUUGCUUCUCGCGACAGAGUGACGACCGGUGGCUUGCCAGAACAACCCUCAUUUGCUCCAGUCACAUGGAUCACAGGUGACCUCGAAUC